AGAAAGACCAUGAUCUGGGAGAAGUUCUUCAAAAUAUUAAUACAGUACUUCAAUACCUUUGCCCUUCUUACUGCAAAAACCACAUGCAUGAUUACUCAGAAGUAAUGCCUUUUGAGUUCAGUGGGAGAUGCUAAUAGCUGAGAUUCUGAGAAUAAAGAGUCCCAAAUGGUCACUUUGUGCAUGCCAAGUUGGAACUGAGUUACGGCAAUCCUAACAGGGCUUUCAAGGAAUUCUUUAGGAUACCUCAGAUAAAUAUCUCCUCAUCAUCAUCCUGUCUGAAAUCCUAUAACUGAAGUCGAUAACAAGGAUUGAACCAAAGGACUUUCACUAUACCUUUCUCCCAGGGCUGGGACUCAAAGAAGCUUACAACAAUAUUACAGUUAGAGUUAUGUACUCUUUCCUCAUCCAACCCACACCUGAAGAAAUGCACACAAAUUGGGACACAGUUCCCUCUGUGUCCUCUGAGAGAUGUGCUGAUUUGUAUCUGCUCUGGUAAUUGGACAUUCCCAGAUAUUACGAAUAUGUGCAUGUUUUCUUUUUUUAAAAAAAAUCAAUUCCCACUCUAGAGCUUUACUUUAAGAUUCUGUAUCAUGACCAGCCUUGGGUUCUUUGUUCCAAACUGAGGCAGACAUGGUUUGGCACAAAUUG
rnacentral:lncRNA from 1 species